UAGGGAAUAUUGGUCAAUGGGCGCAAGCCUGAACCAGCCAUGCCGCGUGAGUGACGAAGGCCUUCGGGUCGUAAAACUCUUUUCUGAGGGAAGAACAACCGGGACAGGAAAUGGUCUCGGCCUGACGGUACCUCAGGAAUAAGCAACGGCUAACUCCGUGCCAGCAGCCGCGGUAAUACGGAGGUUGCGAGCGUUGUUCGGAAUAACUGGGCGUAAAGGGAGCGCAGGCGGUCUGGUAAGUCUAAAGUGAAAGCCCGGGGCUUAACCUCGGAAGUGCUUUGGAUACUGUCAGACUCGAGUUCGUAAGAGGAAAGCGGAAUUCCAGGUGUAGCGGUGAAAUGCGUAGAUAUCUGGAGGAACACCGGUGGCGAAAGCGGCUUUCUGGUACGAUACUGACGCUGAGGCUCGAAAGCAUGGGGAGCGAACAGG
rnacentral:rRNA from 1 species